UUCGCAAUGCCCGAAAGGGUGACGAAGCGACGCCGCGUGUGGGAAGAAGGCCCUAGGGUUGUAAACCGCUGUCAGGAGUUAAGAAAUAUAGAGGUGUUAAUAGCGCUUCUAUUUGACGAAAGCUCCAGAGGAAGCCACGGCUAACUCUGUGCCAGCAGCCGCGGUAAUACAGAGGUGGCAAGCGUUGUUCGGAAUUAUUGGGCGUAAAGAGCACGUAGGCGGCCCUGCAAGUCAGUUGUGAAAGCCUUCCGCUUAACGGGAGAACGGCAGCUGAUACUACGGGGCUAGAGUACGGGAGGGGAGAGUGGAACUUCUGGUGGAGCGGUGAAAUGCGUAGAUAUCAGAAGGAACGCAGGCGGCGAAAGCGACUCUCUGGACCGAAAUUGACGCUGAGUGUGCGAAAGCUAGGGGAGCAAACGGGAUUAGAUACCCCGGUAGUCCUAGCCGUAAACGAUGGGCACUAAGUAGAGGGGGUUUUGAUUAUCUCUCUGCCGGAGCUAACGCAUUAAGUGCCCCGCCUGGGGAGUACGGCCGCAAGGCUAAAACUCAAAAGAAUUGACGGGGGCUCGCACAAGCGGUGGAGCAUGUGGCUUAAUUCGAUGCAACGCGAAGAACCUUACCGGGGCUUAACAUGAUAGAAGUAGAAACCCGAAAGGGCGACGAACGGUAUCCAAUCCGUGACUAUCACAGGUGUUGCAUGGCUGUCGUCAGCUCGUGUAGUGAGACGUUGGGUUAAGUCCCCUAACGAGCGAAGCCCUUGUCUUUAGUUGCCAUCAGGUUAAGCUGGGCACUCUAAAGAGACUGCCGUCGUUAAGACGGAGGAAGGUGGGGAUGACGUCAAGUCAUCAUGGCCCUUAUGUCCCGGGCUGCACACGUGCUACAAUGGUCGAUACAAAGGGAUGCUAAAUCGUGAAAUGGAGCGAAACCCAUAAGGUCGAUCCCAGUUCAGAUUGGAGGCUGCAACUCGCCUGCAUGAAGUUGGAAUCGCUAGUAAUCGCAGGUCAGCUAUACUGCGGUGAAUGUGUUCCUGAGCCUUGUACACACCGCCCGU
rnacentral:rRNA from 1 species